rnacentral:tRNA from 1 species
GCGGGAAUAGCUCAGCCUGGCAGAGCAUCAGCCUUCCAAGCUGAGGGUCGCGGGUUCGAAUCCCGUUUCCCGCUCCA